rnacentral:rRNA from 1 species
AGUGAACGCUGGCGGUAGGCCUAACACAUGCAAGUCGAACGGCAGCACAGUAAGAGCUUGCUCUUACGGGUGGCGAGUGGCGGACGGGUGAGGAAUACAUCGGAAUCUACUUUUUCGUGGGGGAUAACGUAGGGAAACUUACGCUAAUACCGCAUACGACCUACGGGUGAAAGCAGGGGAUCUUCGGACCUUGCGCGAUUGAAUGAGCCGAUGUCGGAUUAGCUAGUUGGCGGGGUAAAGGCCCACCAAGGCGACGAUCCGUAGCUGGUCUGAGAGGAUGAUCAGCCACACUGGAACUGAGACACGGUCCAGACUCCUACGGGAGGCAGCAGUGGGGAAUAUUGGACAAUGGGCGCAAGCCUGAUCCAGCCAUACCGCGUGGGUGAAGAAGGCCUUCGGGUUGUAAAGCCCUUUUGUUGGGAAAGAGAAGCAGCAGGUUAAUACCCCGCUGUUCUGACGGUACCCAAAGAAUAAGCACCGGCUAACCUCGUG